rnacentral:lncRNA from 1 species
GCCUGUGUGCAGAGUGAUAUGCAAACUGGCACCAGGGUGUGUGUGAGCAUGGCCUUCCCAAUUUCCCACACACACGUUUGGGUUGUUUCCAGUCUCCUGUGCCCAGCAGGGCUGUGUGUGGCUGUGGAGCUGCAGAUGGAGGCUUCCAGGCCCCGAUCUUCAGGUCUAUUGGAAAACAGUCCCAGAAAGUCAGAUAGAGAAACUGUUUUUCUUUGGCAACCGCAGACUUGUACAUAGAGGGGCUGCACAGAGAUCCCUAUCCCUGAGGGAUCCAGGUACCAUGUGAAUGCACAACGGUGCUUGGGCUCUGGCUCAGGUCUUCCUUUUGCCACUUAUUAGUGACCCCAAGCAUGCUGCUUUAUGUUGUGUGCCUCAGUUUCCUCAUUAGUAAAAGGGCAUAUAACAUUAUCUAACUCCUGGUGUUUGCUGAGAAUUGACCAGGGGAGAGUACCUGAGGACAGCUCUACUGUCUCCGGGGUGCAGCCAUGAGCUUUUGGUGUAUAUGAAUUCCAGUCUGAUUUGCACGUCUGUUUCUGGACAGUGGACAUGCAGAAUCCAGUUUUCCAGUUUGGGCCCCACCACUGUGACACUGCAGUGUAAAAUGGGAACAAGGAGCAACUGAUGAAGAAAAGAACUGGAUUACCACGAAUGCUGUUAGGAAUCUUUGCCGAUCUGCAUCCAGAGCCAGGUUUAAACCACAGGCAGGGUUGUAACCAUGGCUUUGAAUGCUGGUCUCUGUCCGGCGGCGUGCUCUCAGGGGGAAACCUGUCUCAGCAGCAGGUAAACAUAAAGCCUGCCUCAGACUUCCAGCAGUAUUGUGUCCAGGUCUGUCUCCAUGUCUGGAGGGAGAUGUGAUCAAGAUGGAAAUGCCUUGGAAAAAAAUCAGCAGUGAUGGCCAGGUAGUGUCACCAGGUACUGGUCAUAAACAGGAUGGGCGAGAUGCUCAGAGAAGGAAGCUGGGGUGUGUGUGCGUGUGUGUGCAGGGUGCUGAAAGAGAAAUCGGAGCCCAGACCCAGGCUGUGCCUGCUGCCUCUAGGCUGAGGUGA